rnacentral:rRNA from 1 species
CCCUUAGAUGUCCUGGGCUGCACGCGCGCUACACUGAUGUGUCCAGUAAGCACCUAACCUCUUCCGAAAGGAACGGGUAACCUUUGCAAAGCACAUCGUGAUGGGGAUAGAUUAUUGCAAUUAUUAGUCUUGAACGAGGAAUUCCUAGUAAGCACAAGUCAUCAGCUUGUGUUGAUUACGUCCCUGCCCUUUGUACGCACCGCCCGUCGCUCCUACCGAUUGAAUGUUCCGGUGAGCUCUUCGGACUGCGCGGUCUGCAGUUUCUGCGUUCCGUGCGGAAAGUUGCGCAAACCUUAACAUUUAGAGGAAGGAGAAGUCGUAACA